rnacentral:lncRNA from 14 species
AACCCUGACUGCGGCUGCGCGGCCGUGGGCGGUUGUGGGCCUCGCCCGGACCUCUUGAUGCUCCUGUCGCCGUCUUCCCUGGCCUGUUCGCGCAGUCUCUGGGGUGGCAUGUGGGGCACCGUCUGCCCGAAGGCAUGGGACCGAAUCCUGAGAGUGAGACAGCCCUGUCGCCUCCUGCCGAGGGCGAGCCGGAAGGUGAGCCCAGGUCCUGGCCGCCUCCCAAUGCCAUCUGAUAGAACUGCCGCCGGCUCAGUGCAGUUUCUGCUGGUGAAGGACGGGAAGAAGGGCCUCACCGCAGGGUCUGAGAUGGUGAACCGUGUUAUCGGAGACUUAAAGGGUUUGCACCGGAAGAUCACCUCAAGGGCCGCAGUACAUCGCGAGCAAUACCUUCUCGGAGGCAGCGGUCAGAAGUGUGAGCCUCGAGGAUCGGAUUACUUGAUUUUGUCCCAGUCAUUUUGCUCUCAAGUAUCAAGACAGAACCCAGGUCUCUUCCACCCAUACAAGGGUGUUUCAUUCGAGUACCAUCCUCAUUCUUGACUGAGUACAUUGUGUGUGAUCUCGGUUAUCACCUCUCCAAGAACAAGUAAGUCUCGAGUAAUUACCUUCAUUCAGUUAAGGCUCCGUCUUUAAAGGAGUGAGGUAGAGAUCACCGAAUUUUACUGGUGACAAAAAACUGCUUUGUUCAGGGUCACACAUGUAAAGACAUGGUGGAGACAAGACACUCAUUAAGCAUUUGUUACAAGCCAAAGGCACUUUCCACGGCUUUUUACAAGCACACCGCAAAGUAUUACUAAGUAUCUACAUUUUAGAUAUACUAAUGACGGUGAUGCCACUUACUCAAUGCCCCAAAUGAGCCAGCUCUUCAUGUUUUACCAUCUUAGAGGGAAGAUAGGAUCUUCCAUACUGAGCCAACGAGUGCAACGACUACAGAGCUGUCGCAGCCAGACAGAGCGGGAUUAGAGUUGAAGUCUUACUGAGUCAAGAGUUUACACUCUGUAUUAUUGUAGCUGUUCUUAGAGCUCUUUCCAGUCUCGAGGUGUGUGUCACGGACUCAUCUUUCUUCAAACACUGCAAAUACAAAUAAGACUCUGUAGCUAAGGUCAUCACAAUAAGACAUUGGCCCACAGAAAUACAAAAGCAGGCGACCUAAGGUUGGGGUGUUUGAACUUUGAUCCCAGCUCUGGAUACUUUCAGGGCUCUCAGAGUGUUGGCUACACAUAAAAUACGUCGUCUGCUCAGACUUAGCUUUACUCUUGUAGGCCAUGUUUCCUCAGUCUCCCAUUUCUAGUAAGCCCAAAAUUAGUCUCGUGCCACUGAGCAGCCCAGUAAUAUUUUGAUCUGCCAACACGAUCCCAAGUGUGUUUCCAGAUGGUAGUGGAAAGCCUAGCAGAACUUGUACCCUUGCCUCAGGAUGAAAGAUGUCCCAUGUCACAGGCAUCAUCGUCAACAUCCGAGAAGGACUGAGAGUAUGGCCUCUGGGUCCAUGUGUGCAGCAGACACUGGCGGGGGUAAGGGUAAGAGAUGAAAUCCCUCAUUCACGUGAGUGGGAAGACGGGCCUGCCAAGUAUGACUAGGAAGCAAAGCCAGUGGAGGAAAGGGUGAAGACCGCGACUUUCGUGUUGGACAAUGGGAAGAUAUCUCAGUCAUAAGAACUCUUAACAGGGAUUUAUUUUAGUGAUGUUGGCCAUUGAUCCCAGUCUCUGAGGCAUGCCAGGUAAGUUCACUAGCACUGAACUACAUCUCCAGCCCACAGAGCCAGUAUCCCAGGAUGCAGCCCAGCCCGGCCUGGAAUGCUACGUAGCUGUGCUAGCUUCAGACUCCUCCCUACUGGGAUUACAGAUGUGGCACAACACCUGGCUCUUGAGGGAUUUCGGUGCUAGAGUCAGAACUCAUGACCUACUGGAGCUUGGAUAGCAGGUGUUUGGAAACAACCUCGGGGUAUUGCAGCCGUCCCAAGAUCCAGCAGGCACACAGUGCUCCCGAGGUGGCAGCUCAUUUGUAACUCAUACAAGUCAGGCCUCACUUCCUGGGCCCACCCCAGUUUCCACUUGGGGUAAUUAUCUUUCACGCCUUGGUCAUGGUAGCAAUUGAUACUUAUGUAAAUUACACCUCAAAUUGUGCACACCAGCAAAGAUGGCAACAAUUACCUCCCGGCAGAAACAAGCAUAAUAAGGAAGUUGGGCAUCCUGAAAGUAUCCUGAUCAAGGCCUUUUUUAGAAGUCACGGCUAAGCGACCUUGAACAAGGAUUCCUAUUCUCAGUGCAGGACCAAGAAACAGUGAUGGAAGAGGAGGUCGUGACAUCCAGGCCCCACACCCCGGUCUACCAACUGAAAUGAGACUUUGACCACCUCCUAGCCGAUAACUACAGCAGCUAGCGAUUGCCAAGCCUUUGUGCUGAGAAUGUGAGGCAGAGUCCACACUGUCAACACUGAGAUCCCAUCAGAAAACCACAGGAAGGAAUAUUUCUACUAUUCUCUCAAUACUCAAGUUGAAUGCCUGGGCUACUUAGCGAGGCCCUGCCUCAAGGAGAAGAAAAACAAAGUGGGGCUGAGAGGGGAGGAAGGGAAUGCCCAGGUACUGCCCAUGGAGUCCAUCCUGGGCAUCUAGACUGGGCUGGGAAAUAGAAGCUGUGGGCAGCGACGAGGUAAUUGGCAAGUUGGCUUCUCUGGUUGAGGACUCCGAUAGGCAGCCAGCUUCUGAGGGAUGGUGCCCCUGAGACGUCUCCAGGGCAUCUUGUAUCCAUGUGGUGAGGGAGGAGCAUCCAGUACCUGAGCCAUACCUGAAACUAAACUAGAAGCCAUACCCAGCUCCUGAAACACAUUGACCUCCCCUCCAACCCCACUUUGCCUAUGGAUAACAAGAUGGCCUCAACUGGGGUUUUAACCUCUCCUACUUUGGGGUCUUUGACGCAGACACCUGCAAGACUAGAUUUAGGAAGAGAGCUACCAAAGCUCCUCCCACUGUAUCUGCUAGGCGAAGGAUACUGUUAUUAUGACAUGUAUCACUCACUCGACAGAUAUGCAUUGGGCAACCUCUAGAUGGCCAGCAUGCACACAGGGGAUAAGGUUACAACAGAGGACAAAGUGGAAACCAUUCUUGUCCUCAAAGAGCUCAUGAGCAAGGGGAGAGUAAAACUAGGUUUACACAGCGUGCAGCACAGUGACCUAGGUUGUAAG